GAUGAACGCUGGCGGCGUGCCUAAUACAUGCAAGUCGAGCGAAUGGAUUAAGAGCUUGCUCUUAUGAAGUUAGCGGCGGACGGGUGAGUAACACGUGGGUAACCUGCCCAUAAGACUGGGAUAACUCCGGGAAACCGGGGCUAAUACCGGAUAACAUUUUGAACCGCAUGGUUCGAAAUUGAAAGGCGGCUUCGGCUGUCACUUAUGGAUGGACCCGCGUCGCAUUAGCUAGUUGGUGAGGUAACGGCUCACCAAGGCAACGAUUCGGAGCCGACCUGAGAGGGUGAUCGGCCACACUGGGACUGAGAACCGGCCCAGACUCCUACGGGAGGCAGCAGUAGGGAAUCUUCCGCAAUGGACGAAAGUCUGACGGAGCAACGCCGCGGGAGUGAUGAAGGCUUUCGGGUCGUAAAACUCUGUUGUUAGGGAAGAACAAGUGCUAGUUGAAUAAGCUGGCACCUUGACGGUACCUAGCCAGAAAGCCACGGCUAACUACGUGCCAGCAGCCGCGGUAA
rnacentral:rRNA from 1 species